rnacentral:rRNA from 1 species
CCCUUAGAUGUUCUGGGCUGCACGCGCGCGACAAUGACGUUUGCAACGAGAUACGAGACCGAAAGGAUAAGUUGAUCUAGCAAGCUGCGUCGUGAUAGGGACUGUCGAUUGCAAUUAUUCGACACGAACGAGGAAUUCCUUGUAAUCGCACAUCAUCAGUGUGCGCUGAAUACGUCCCUGCCCUUUGUACACACCGCCCGUCGCUCCUACCGAUCGAGUGAUCCGGUGAAUGUUUUGGAUCGGUUGCAAGUUGCGCGACGCGCUUCUUGCAUGCUGUGAAAUCAUGUAAGCCUUAUUGCUUAGAGGAAGGAGAANUCGUAACA